rnacentral:lncRNA from 1 species
GGAAUAGAGCGGAUAAUGGCAAAUUUCUAAUGGCAAAAAGCAUAAGGUAAGCGUGUGAUCCAUUGGUGUGAGUGGAGGUCGCUAUGCGAAUUAAAUGAAAAUUGGGGCUUUGGUUUCCAUUGUUUAACAAAAUUCAAUUUAACCUUAAUAGUUAAGCAUGGGUGGAGGUUAAUAAACAAUCCAAAUUUGUUGUUAACUCUAACAUUAAAAGUUAAGUACUAUUCGAUUUUAGAUUUUCUGAGUGUUGGAUUAGGGAAUAUACCUUCCUAUACAUAGAAGAGUGUAAGGGCUACUAAGGGCCUCUUACAAGCUAGGCUUUGCUGGCAGGCCUGGACAGAAAAGGUAAUCCCAAUGGAGGAGGCUGCAUGAGUGCUAGGAGCUGUGAGGUUUAAGAUAUAGCAGGGAGUAAGUGAUCUGAAGAUCAGGUUGGUUGUAGAUUUAAUUGAUGUUGAUAAUAGGAAAAGGAAAGAAGAUACAAUUAAAUAUACCUUCUGCGACAGUGAUGUAAGAUGAAUUUUGUGUAUUCCGUUGGCAAGAUUCCCACAUGAUGAUUACAUAGUGUGGCGAGUGGAGGCAUCCAGGGAGUAUUUGUUGAGGGGCGGAUAUAAACUUAUAUUACAAGGUAUUCUUGAUCUCGUGCUAAAUUAUAAUCAAAAUGAAAAUGUAGAAUUUUACAGAAACUUCGGGGCCUAGAUCUACCCUCUAAUAUUAAAAUUACAGUUUGAAGAACUGGUGUGAAUUUCCUACCUAUCCUAGCUAAUUUACAAUACAAAACAUUAGUUGCAGAAGCAAUUUUCCCAAGAUAUAAAACGAAAUUGGAAACUAGGGAACAUGUUUUUUAGGACUGUCUUGUAACAAAGGAGAUCUGGGAUAAAUUACAGUUUGUAUGGUCACAGGAACUGUUAAAUCUAAAAUAUAUGGAGUGGAUUACCUAUGUUCUGGCGUAUAAACCCAGUGAUUGGUGUUGAACCUUUGUUUGUACUUUAUGGGAAAUUUGGACCGAGAGGAAUAAAUGGCUGCGUGAUGGACAAAAAAGAUCAAGGUCAAGUAUCGCAAACUUCAUUAAAAGCUAUAUUCGAGAAUUGGAUGAGUUGGAGAAGAAGUUACCAAUCAAGAGUCGAGCCAGUGAAAGAUGGUGACCAUUGGAUUCAUCAGUUUUCAAAAUAAACUUUGAUGUUGUAUUUAAUAAUAGAGAAAGCAGGUCUUGUUUGGGAAUGGUGUUACGAGAUUCAAAUAGAGAGAUUUUGAAAUCGAAGAUAGUGAUAAAUGAGGAUAUACUUUCAAUGUUUGCGGCGGAGGCCAUUGCAUGUGUGCAAGUGGUUACACUAAGCAAUGAUUUAGGUUUAACGAUGGUGGAGAUAGAAGGGGACACACUAUUAGUGGUCAAGGAAGUCCAAAGCGAUGGGGUGAAUAGAUUAGAAAUUGGAGCCUACAUUAAGGAUGCGAAACAUUAGGUGAGGGUUUUCAAAAAUAUAGAUUCAAAUGGGUUGGGGGAGGCAAAUGGACUCAUUCUUUGGCAAAUGAAGGGUUAAAGAGGGGAGAACAAAUGUACCUGCAAAAUGAAGUACCUAACUUCGGAAUAGUAGCAACGGAGAAUGAUCGGGGUUGGGAAAGAGAUCUGGAUUUGAGGCGACAUCGAUGAGAACUAGAACGGGAAGUUUUCGUUGGAGAAGGUAUGGGGAAUGUGAAGAAUGCAAAAAGUUUUUCUCCAAAAGCUAUUGUUGAUUCAAGUCAGUUUAGAGGCUUCUAGAACCUGACAGCUCAUUGUUGGAUUAGUUUAUUUAUUUUUGUUGUAUUUUCUUUAUUUUAUUUUAUUGUGUGAUUGUUGUUUAUGCCCAACGGAUUAGAGUGGGCUUUUUUUUUUUGUUUUUUUGUUAUUAUUCAAUCCAACUUAUACUUCUCAAAAAAAAAAAAAAAGAAGAAGAA